rnacentral:misc_RNA from 1 species
AAGUCGUAACAAGGUUUCCGUAGGUGAACCUGCGGAAGGAUCAUUAUGAAUUUGGUGAGCGUGUCUCUCUGUCGUUUAAUUACGACGAGAGUGCGCUUUCAUUUUCUGUGAACUGGUUCUUGUUCUGUUGUUCAAUUUAUUUUGGGCAAUAAGACUUGAGCGCUUUUUUGUUUUCUUUUAUUUUAUUUCAUUUUUUUGUUUGAUUGAUUGCGCAAGCAAUUGAUUGAAUAAAUAAAAAACCAAGAUAACUUUCAGCAAUGGAUCUCUUGGCUCUU